rnacentral:lncRNA from 1 species
AAGUACAAACUGAGUGGAUAUUGUGAUUCUGAUUGUGCUGAAGAUAAAUUUGAGAGAAAGCGCACUAGUGGCAACUACACCUUUCUUGGUUACAACUUAAUAUCUUGGUCAAGUAAGAUACAAAACACCAUUGCAAUGUCAACAACAAAGGCCAAGUACAUUUCAGUAGCUGACUGCAGCUCUCAACUACUUUGGAUGAAACAUCAACUUGAAGACAAAAAAAUCCUAGAACCCAACAUUCCCAUCUAUUGUGAUAAAACUUCUGCAAUUUGUCUAACCAAAAACUCUAUCUUACAUUCUAGAGCUAAACACAAAGAUAUCAAACACCACUUCAUUACAAACUUUGUUCAAAAAGGGGUACUAAACAUUCAAUUUGUAGAUACUAAGCACCAAUGGGCUAUUCACCAAACCACCACCUGAAGAUAGGUUUGACUUCAUCAAGAAAAACCUAAGCCUUACCGUCAUACUUGACUGAUGUUGUGAUCAAUUCAAAAUAAUUUAGCUUUACAUUAGUUUUUAUAUUUUCUUGUAAUAUGUUAUAUUCAUGUUAAUAAAAAAAACGAAAAAAAAAAACAAAAAAAAUAAAUGAAAGAAAAAAAAAGUCUCACCUUCAAGUCUUAUUGUCUGAUGACAAAAGGGAGAGAAAUAUAUUUCAUAAAGUGGGAGAGAAAAUGAUACUUAGACUCAGGGGGAGCCGUAAAUUAGGGGGAGUUAAAUAAAUAUAAAGAAAAGUUGUUAUAAAAAAAUAUAAAUUUUGUCAUAAUAAAAAAGAGGGAGAUUGUUGGAACCAAGUUGAUUUUAUACUUAGAGUUUUUAUGAUAACAAAAGUAUUUUAUGAGAACAAUAUAUUUGACUUCUUAGAGUAUGAAAUAAGAUAUGGUCAAGAUUUGAAGAAGAUUUUGUCAAAAUUUAUCUACACCAAAAUAUGAACAUAAUCAAUUUGAAGAAUUUAUACUUAGAGUUUUUAUGAUAACAAAAGUAUUUUAUGAUAACAAUAUAUUUGACUUCCAAGAGUAUGAAAGAAGAUAUAGCCCAGAUUUGAAGAAGACUUGAUCAAGAUUUAUCUAUAGCAAAAUAUUAACAGAAUCAAUUUGAAGAAUUUAAAAAAAAAUCUAAACAAAAUACGAACAAAAUCAAUUUGAAGAAUUUACAAUCUCAAUCGAAACAAAAUAGGUACACAAUGUAUCCGAAGAAUAUACUAAUGCAAUCUGAACAAAAUACAAUUGAGAAUUAAACAAGGACUAAAUUAAAGCCCAAGAGUAGUAGUCAAGGCUGGAGAAGAAAAUCAUCGAAAAACAUAAAAGAUAAGUCCUAGAUUUCGAAGAGAGAAACACUUGUUCGAACGAGAAAUACUCUCUAAGUGUUUUUUCUUAGAAUGUGAGUGUUAUUAUUAUUAUCAGCUUUGUUAGAAGCAAACACUUAAAGUUUCAAUAUUUUUAUCCAACCCUAUAGUGGCUUAGUUCAUUCUUCAAUCUGUAGUUGUCAGGUUGUCAGGAGAAUACUUGGCUUGUAGGGUCAAUGUCGUUAGCUCCUCAAAAGUUUGGGGUUCUCAGGCUGUUUGAAAAGACUGAAUUGGAGGGCCAGGUACUUUGUAAUUCAAGGUAAUUGAAUUAGUGGAUUAAAGCCUUCUGAAUGAGGGGACUGGAUCUAUCCAAGUUAGUGGUGAACCAGAAUAAAUUUAUUUGUCAAAUUAUUUAAGCUUUCAUUGUUUGCUACCUCUGAAUUUGAUUGCUUCUUCUCCAAGUAAGUCACCAAAAUCGAACUAGUUUAUUUAUUUAUUUAUAAAUUAUCAAAAAGUUAUCAACUUUAUCAAACACAAUUCAACCCCUCUUUCUAGUGUAUAUGAGAAUUAAUAAUCCAAUAUAAUAUCCAUAUCAUUUUGAUAGGGAUGGUUUAAUAGCCAAACCUUUUGGGAAUCACAACAUGUUGAGUCUUAUAGUGGUGAUCCUUUCGGUUGAGCUUUAAGGCAAUAUGCAAGUGAAAUAGCAAUGUCGAUUUACAAGGAAGGGGGUUUGAAUUGUAAAUAUAUAUUUUUAAAAAUUCAUGAAAUAAACUCAAGUUUUAACUCAAGAAUGAUAUUGGUUAAGAAAACAGAAAACGGAGAACGUUCUUGGUUUUUUUAUAAAACAGAAAACGUUCUUGGUUAGCUUACAAAACAGAAAAUCAGUUUGUGUUUUAUCUUAGUUAAUCAAUAAAGCUUAAUAAAUAAAGAGAUAAGAUAGAGAAUACCACACAAAGAUAUAUCCUGGUUCACCCAACUCGGGCUACGUCCAGUCCUCACACUGUGAGUUUUUCCACUAAGUGUUUAAAACAAAGAACCUUUUUGAUUUUACAGCAUCUAGUUCAGAUCAACCUUGAUCUGUUUCAAUCUCUAUUACUUUCCACCCAUAAUAUUAUUUAAUUUUUUUAGAGAGUAAAACUAGAAAGUAUUUGUCCUCUUUCACUAUGUUUAUGUACUCUAGUUCUUGAUUUCUAAGAAAUUGCUCAUGAUACGAAUUCUUGUGUGUAUCUCUAUUUGAAAUUCACGGGGAUAUGAAAUAAUUGAAAAAUUGCUCUCUCUUUCUUACUUAAGGGAAACUUGUUGAGAAAUUGAUAAUAUUAUUUAAUUUUUUUUUAGAGAAUAAAACUUGAAAAUUAUUGUUUGACAAAUUAGUUGGAGUUAACCAUCUAUUUGGCAUAAUAUCGCUUCACUCAACUUUAAGUAAUAAGUUUAUCAUUACUAAAUCUAUAAGACUUAUUUCCUUCGUUCGUGAUUGAAAUAUUAUAUGCAAUUGUUUAAAUGAUUCAUUGUGUCAUGUUAGUUUAUAAUGCUAAGCUAAUUGAUUUUUGACAUGUUGUGCUUAAACGAGUAAUGAAAUUUAGAAUAUAUGUUAAUUAAAUUUAGAAUUAAUUUUCUUUAUAUGAUGUUUUAAUCUUGUACAUGUUAAACUAAAUGAUUGACAUAGAUAUCAAAUAUUAUAUUUUUAUAUUUUUCUAAAAAUAAUAGUAUUUUAGUGUACACAUUUUAAAGUCUAGGAUUUUAGGCGAUUCUACGUGCAUAUAUGCAUUUGUAACUAAUUUGAUGCGCCUUGUAUGUUGACUAAUGUUAAGUGCGCACAUAAUUAUAUUUAAUUAUUUUUAAAUAUAUCUUAUUUUAAUUAAUUAUUUUAUAAAAAAUUAUCUUGAGACAGUAGUAAUAUUGAUAUUGACUUUCUUUAUUUUUAUGUGGUUGUUACGGUAUGAUGAUUUUAUACAUAUUAAUUUUGAUUUAGUAAUUAUUAUAAAUUAUUGAUGUUAUAUUUAUUUAUUUGAUCAUUUCGAUAUUCUAUAAAGAUGAUGUAUUUUAUGUGAUUACUUUGAAAAAUAUUAUAGUAAUAACUAUAGUUAUUAUUUUGAUCAUCACAGUUUUGAUUAAAAUUAUAUUUAUCUAUGUUAAGGAAAAAUAAUAUUAUGUUAAAAUGAGUGUUUUGGAGAAAACGUUUCUAGCGUAGAUAAAUAAAAUAAAUGAUUUAUUAAUGACUUUUAGAAAUACUAGAAAAUAAAUUUUGGACCAGAUAACUGUUUACACCCUUAUUUUCUACUUAUGCAUAUUAAUUUGUGCUAUUAUUGGUUGGACUUUUAUUUCCUACGGUUGCUGCGAAGGACAAUUCUACCCUGCACCCCCAUACCUAAACUUGCCACCCCUCAAGACAAAUGGAAAUACAAUUUUACCCUUUUAACCAUUUAUCAUAAGUUUCAAAAUUGAUAGUUUCGGAAGUUUCAAAUUUUGAAAUUUUCGAAUUUUAAAUUUUUUGAAAUAAGGAUUACGUUUCGAAAAUUUAGAAUGUUUCGUAAGUUUCCAAAUUUGGAAAAUUUCGAAAGUUUCCAAAUUUGGAAAAUUUCGAAAGUUUUGAAUUAUUUGAAAGUUUCAGAAAUUUUGGAAUUCUAUUUCGAAAGUUUCGAAUUGUUCAAAGUUUCGAAAAUUUUAGAAAUUGACAUGUUGAAACUUUCGAACAUUCUAGAAAGAGCGGUGAAAAAAUUAAAAAUUAAAAAUGUUGAAGGGCAAAAUUGUAUUUUUCACGUUGGUUGGGGGUGAGAGGUUUAGAUGUGGAGGUGCAGGGUAGAAUGCUCUGGUGCGAGUUGCUCAUUACACUCCUAUUUCUGUCUCAGACUUUACUAUCACGUGUUGGGUCUUACCGUUUUACUUUUUUUCCUAUACAUCUGCUAUUUGCAACCCCUCCUUCUGCGAUUAAAAGAAUAAAAAUUGAAAAUCAGAUUAAUGGCAACCAAAUUGCAGCAAACCUUUUUUCUCUCAAAUUCACUGCCAACAAUUCUUUGUCAUUUGAAUCGAUCUCAAUCACUGUUCCACACAAAAUCUGCCACCGAAUCUAUUUUUGGUUUCAAUUUUAUCGAUCAUGACUCAUUUUCAUUAGAACUUAUAACUUAAAAGAUAACAUUUUUGAAACUUUUAACUCAAUUUUAUCAAUCAUGGCUUCAAUUUAAUUUGCCACAUUAUACUUUUUUAAAGGAAUUUAUAAAAAAUUUACGUAAGUGGAUUAUAACUUAAAAGUUAAUUUAUUUAUAAUUUAUGGACAACUAAUUAAUUAUUUUUUAUCAACAAAUGUCAAGAUGAAAAUCCAUCUUGAAUCAUUAUUAAUAAUUUUAAUUGUUUACAAUAGUUUUUAUUAAAAAUAAUGCAAUUCAUGAUCAUCUUCUUUCAAUAAAUAUUAGAUUUACUAUACCCAUUAAAUAAACAACUUUUUAAAACUGAAUCUAAGAAAUGAGAAUUCAAAUUUAUGAUCAUAAAUGAACAAAGAGUAGAAAUAUGUCAAAACAAAUAUCUCAUCGCACGAAAUAAAAUUAUUCUCUCAAGAACUAAACCAUUUAAAUUUAUGAAGGUCAAAGAUUAAACCAUUUAAAUUUGUCCAAAAAAAAAAUUUGAAUUUGCAAAAAAAAUAACGUUAUUCAACCAAAUAAACGAAACAAAGGAUUCAAGGACCGAAGGGUCCCCUAAACUUUUAUAAAAUAUUUCGAUAUUAGUACGUUAUUAUAAUUUUUUAUUUCUGUACUAAAUCUCAAUGUUAGUAUGUUAUUAUGUGGAAUGUGUUCAAUUUAAGAUUCUUGGUGCUAUGGGAGCAUUAGACGUUGAUUGUCAAGGUUAAAUUGUGGGUCAAUGUGAGGGAAAUAAAGGAUAGUCUUAUGAACUUUGAAGGUUAAUUUUUAAAAGCGUCUUCUUUUGGGGAUCAAUGUGAAUAAUUCUCGGUUGAAGAGACGAUACAAGUAUUUUAACACUCUAAAUUUUAUAAUAAAUUAUUUUAUUGAUGAAAUAUAAUUUCAAAUAUUUAAACUGAUGUUAAAAUUAUUUUAUAAUAUAUGUUAAUUAAAUUUAGGAUGUUUUAAUCUUGUACAUGUUAGACUAAAUGAGUGAUAUAAAUAUCAAAUAUUAUAUUUUAUAUAUUUUUCUAAAAAUAAUAGUAUUUUAGUGUACACAUUUUAAAGUAUAAGAUUUUAGACGAUUUUACGUGCUUAUGUGUGUUUGUAGUUAAUUUGAUACUUUCUUGUAUGCUGACUAAUGUUAAGUGUGCACACAAUUAUAUUUAAUUAUUUUUAAAUUUAUCUUAUUUUAUUUAAUUUAAUUAUUUUAUAAAUAAUUAUCUUGAGAUAUUAGUAAUAUUGAUAUUGAUUUUCUUUAUUUCUAUAUAGUUGUUACGGUAUGAUGAUUUUUUACAUAUUCAUUUUGAUUUAGUAAUUAAUAUAAAUCACUGAUGUUAUAUUUAUUUAUUUUAUCAUUUCGACUAAUCUAUAAAGAUGUUGUAUUUUUAUAUUAUUAUUUUGAAAAACAUAUUAUAGUAAUAAUUAUAGUUACUAUUUUGAGUAUAAGAGUUUUGACUAAAAUUAGAUUUAUCUAUAUUAAGGAAAAAUAAUAUUAUGUUAGAAUGAGUGUUUUGGAGAAAACGUUUAUAGCGUGGAUAAGUAAAAUAAAUUUUUUAUUAAAGAUUUUUAGAAAUACUAGAAAAUGAAUUUUAGACCAGACGACUGUUUACACCCUUAUUUUUUUUACUUCUGCAUAUUAAUUUGAGCUAUUAUUGGUUGGUUUUUUAUUUCCUACACCUGCUGCCUCAGACUUUACUAUCAUGUGUUGGGACUUACAGUUUUAUUCUUAUAUCUCUACGUUUUCUCUCUACACCACUCAUAUUGCAAUUAAAAAAAUAUAAAUUGAAAGUCAGACUAAAGGCCGCGAAACAAUUUUUCUCUCAAUUUCGUUUCCACCAAUUCUUUGUUGCUUGAAUCGAUCACAAUCUCUGUCCACACAAAAUUGGCCACUAAAUCCAUUUUUGGUGCCAAUUUUAUCAAUCGUGGCUCCGUUUCAUAAAAACAAAUGCGUUUCUUUCGUUGGGCGAGAUAUUUUUGGCCAAAUCUGAUCACUACGUUUGUCGUCUCAAAAAAAUAGUAUUAUUUUUGGAUUUCUCUUGUCGAAACUUACAAGAAGAACUACUCAUUUACAUUUUUCAUUGAAGUUGAAGUCGGACACUUAUGGCACUCGGAUGUGGAGAUUAUUUUAUCAUAAUAUAAGUAGGGUCUAACAAGCCUAGUGAUUUCGAGGAAGUACAACUGAAUGCGCCUGAUCAUGGAAGUCUGCUGUUGAGCCUUAAGGCAAAAUUGUUAGACAUUGGAGAUAUUCGGAUGGAGAAUUCCUAGGUGACUAGGAGGUAGCACUCCAAAUGUCGACAACUACCAUGCAACACACAUUUACCUCUACUUUUGCAUAUAUGUGACUCAGAUGGAGUUGAGGGUGAAGUAGUAAUAUCGAUUUACAAGGAAUGGGGUUUAAAUUGUAAAUGUUUCUAUUUAAAAAUUCCUGAAAAACUUAAGGAUUUUACUUAGGAAUGAUCUUGGUUAAGAAAACAAAAAACGGAGAAUGUUAUUGGUUAGCUUGAAAACAAAAAUUCAGUUUAUGUUUUAAUUCAAGUAAUCAAUCAGACUUAAUAACUAAGGAGAUAAGAGAACUAAUAUAUGUGAAUAAAAAUAUGUGAAUAAAAAUAUUCAGCUUUUGAAUACUUUUUAAAAUCUAUUUGACUGGGAUGGUUUAUUCGUUCAUGAUCAGUUUUAUCUUGUGUUUAAUGAUCCUUUAUGCUUCACAUAAAUUUGUUGAUGUUAAAUCUUUGAUCUGGAAACUCGACUCUGUUCAAAUCAAUUUGGAGAAUGAUGAUGAACUUCUACAGAUAUAAGGAGAUUGAUACCGAGCUUCUGCAGAAUUAUGGAGAUUGAUAAUUGAUCUAGAUUGUCAGUCUUGUACUUUCAGGAGAUUGAUGAUCAAUCUUGAGGUUCAUUGUUUGAUCAUUCUGGACGACUUCUCGAUCAAUCUGGAUGACUUUGUACAUACCAAAAUUGAUUAACUUUCUUGACAAUUAAGUUGGAGAAGUUUCAUACUUGUUUUAUCUUUUUUGAUUCAUGAGUUUUUAUCUUAGUGAUUCGAAUGCCUUCUUUGACUAGAAUGAAUCAUACUUGUUCCUUGCCAAGUACUGAUAACAUUAGCAUGAAAUUCAGAGGCAGAAUCUUUUAUGAACUAAUGCAGAUUGAUUAAUCUUGAGGCUGUGAUGAUCAGUCUUGAUCUUGGAGAACAUUCUCCGUUUUAUCUAGAAUGUUCUUGUUUCUUUAUCUGUUCAGUUUUUAUCUGAUUUCUUUGCUUUGCUUGAUUCCUAUCUUUGAAUUAAUUAACUCAAAAGCACAAGUUAAAUUAACAUAAUAUUUUAAAAUCAUAAUUAACAUUCUUAAUUAACCUUUAUUUAUUUUCAUCAAAACUUUAAUUUGAGAGUUUGUCUUAACAGAUGGGAUCUACGAGGAUAUGACCAAUUUGAAUUGUCCGUCCACCGGGAUAGUGUCAUGGUAUCAAGCCUCCUAACCAAGUACUUCAGAGUUAAAAUGGUACCACUUUGUGAAGUAGAGUCUAAGCUCAUGCAUAACAUUGCAUUUUCUUGUGAUUGUUUUUGUGUGAUUAAUGGGUAUCAUGUGCAAUAAUAAUUUCUCUUAGAAGAUUUGAUGUUAUAGUGAAAUGUAUUAAUUUUUUUUGGAGAGGUUUUAGAUUUAUAAUGUGAGUUAUUUCCUUGAAGAAUGUUUGUGUAACGAUACAGUUUGUUUAUGAUUAAUUGUGUGUUCUUCUUGCGUACUUAUAUUAUACUAUUAACAUGAUUUCAAAACUCAUCUCCUUCGUUGUUUAUGUUUGACUGACUCGACCUUGCGUUGAAGUUCAAGUUGGGAGAAACCCCACUCUGAUAGGUGAUAAUAGGAAUAAGAGUUUUGAAUUGUAUUUUACUUUUACUUUUUAUUAGAAAUGACUUUUUGUAUGAAAAUCUUAUAAGCACUAGUAAGUUUUUGGAAUUAAAUUAAGAAAUUUUAGUUAAAUCAAAUAUAUGGAGAUUGCAUCAUUUUAUAAGAGGUAACAGUUUAAAGUGUUGUUUUUUGAAUUUUGAGAAACUUGAUAACCUAAAUUAAUUAAAAAAAGUUUUUUAUUUACUUGAAAAUAUAUCUUCUUUAUCAGUUGCUAAUGUAUCAAAAACAAAAAAAAAAAUCUACUAAAAAUUAUUAUAUAUUAUUUUGGGGUUUAGGGUGUCACAUUAGUGGUAUCAGAGCAUGUAUGUCCAAUGAGAACGAGUGAGUCGAGUGUUGAUUCAUUAAUCGAAUGUUAGUCGUGUCGGUUGUGUUUUGUUAUGUAUUAAUAAUUUUCAAUAUCAUAAUUUUUUUUCCCGUUAUAUUAUUGUAUUAUGCACAAUAUACUUUUGUAUGCUUUUAAUAUUUUUGAAGUUACUAAUUAACAAUUUAUUUCUUGUUUAUUUUGAUUGUAAUGCACAUUCUUAAUUUCUAUCUAAAUGUCUAAAUAUAACAUGAAUUGUUGACAAUACAAACCUUUUGAUUGGACUUGUGGUUUGAGUUUCGAACUUCGAUUAUUUGUUUUUGUUAGAGUGGUAAUUAGAAAUAAUUUUUUUUAUUGACUAGCUAUAUCAUUGAAAUUAUUAAUUUAAUUGGGGUAAUAUUAAUUAUCGAUUAUAGAUCUUGCCUUUUGGGAUCAUAGCAUGAUUAUAAAAAUUUUGGUAAAUUAAUUUAGAACGUUGUUGUGAGUUUUUAGAAUUUAAAAAAAAAAUUCGAUGAGGGAGUUAAAAUUGGCUUAUUUUGUAGAAUGAAAAUAACUUUUAUUUGAAUUACUUUUGAUUAUUUUAAAGAAAUUACAUUGAGUUGGAUUUUUGAUGAUUUAUAAAAUAAUAAUAAUUCUAUAUUCUUGAUUUUAUUUAACGUUUAAAAUAGCUAAAAAUUUACACCAUAUUUUAUUACAUGUUAUUUUUAAGAAGAAAAAAAAAAGAUUUGUUGUUUAUAUGGUUUAGAGGGCCUCAUGUAAAUAUUGGAUCUUGAGAGUGUCGAAAUAUUUAUUUGAAAUAAUUGAUUUUUUAAUUAUGAUUUUGUGAACUCAUUAGAGUUUAACUUGAUGUUUAGGCUUGAAGAAUUCAUUAGAGAUUUAUAAUUGUGUUAAUAAAAAAAGUAAAAUGAUAAAAUGUCUAUUAAUUGAAAAAGAAAAGAAAAAUAAAAACAAUGAUUUUAAAACAAUUAUCUCAAUAGUUAAACUCCUUUUGAAAAAUUAUCUAAAUUUUAGAUAAUCGAUUUAUUUUAUGAGUAGAAUGUUUUUUUUUUUUGAGUAGAAAUGUAGUUUUUGUGUUAUCAUUGUCAAAAUGUAUAUUUGAGUUUAAUAUGAGAAGAUGAUAUGUUGUUUAUAUAUUUUUUCUUGUUACAUGAAUUAACCUAACAAAAUGAUAUGCAUCAUGUAGAUUGGUAUGUGUAAAGUGUAUCAUGUAGAUUGAUAUGUGUAUAGAGAUUAAAAUUUAUUUUAUCCAUUUUAUUAAUUAUAAAAUUGCAUUUUUUUUUAUUAGGGAUCUAAUUUUUAAGAUUAAAAUAGACCUCUAAAAUCUUUAAAAUUUAUGGUGUGUUUUGUUUUAGAUCAAUUUUAUGGCUUGAUAGAAACUCGAGAUGUAUCUAUACGCCUAUUGAGUACUUGAUGUGAGAGGAAGUUGUUAUUUUGUAGAUUUGUCAAUUAGUGUUAUCAUAACCAAAUAUGUCUUAUGAUUUGUGUCAUGUGCACAACUACUUUAAUGUAGAAAAGUAUAUGAUUUUUUUUUGUAAGUAUUGAGAAAAGAAAUUGGAACUAUUUCAGAUGUGUUAAUUAAUUGAAAAAUUUCCUAUCUAUCUAUAUAUAUAAUUGAAAUUUUCUUUCAAAAGAUAAGUUGAAAAUAAUUAUUUUAUAGUGAUUAUUUAUAUAAAAAUGUGUUUUCGAUGAUUAAAGUACAAGUGAAAUUUUAGAAAUCUUAUAGAUUUUUAAAAUACAUGUAAUUUAUUAUUUUUGUUUUAUUUUUUAUUUAGACGUGAUUUAUUGAAAAAUAGUUUAAGGAAAAAAACUUUGAAUUCUCAAUGAAUUUUUGUUGUGCUAAAUGAUUAGUGAUACAUUUUAUAAUAAUUUAAGUGUAGAAAUCAAUUUUUAAAAUUACGUGUAACCUUUAAAGUGGUUUAUGUACUACCUAAUUCAAUUUGGUUUGAUAGCGUGUUGAAUCUUUUCGUAAAUAAAUAUUUCGCUAUAUGGAAAAUAUUUCCUUUAGUUUGUUGUAACUUUUAAAUGAUGAAGAUUAACUCAAAAGAAAAUUUAGUCGUGGUCAAUUUGGAACAUGUGUGAAGAAUCAUCGUUUGAGUUAUGAGAUGAACAAAUCUUGAUGCUAAUUUUUGGAUUAGUUAUGUGAUGGUGUAUACGAUUAUCUAAAUAUCAAAUUGUUUGUGUUUCAAGUGUUCUAUUUAUUGGGAAUUAGUAUAUAGAGUAAGAGUAUUCGAGAGUAUUUAAAAGUGAAAUAAUUUUAUAUUUUUUUAUCCAAUUAUUGAUUAUAUAUUGAUGCAAUUGUCUUUGUUACUACUCGUUGUGACACCGUAAACUCAAAAAUAUUAUGUUCAUUAAAAAAAUGAGCAUGUCAUUGCAUUGCAUAAUAUUCUUAAAAUAUUAUGUUAUUGAUGUAUGUGAAUUGUCUCAUAGUGUGUAUAAUUAAAUAUUUACUGUGUUAUAUGUUAUGAAGAUUUCAUAUGAUUUCAAUGUUCAUCUCUCAUGCUCUAUGUUUGGCGCUGCUAAACACAUAAACUUUUAACAUGCUUCAAGUGACACUUAGAGUCAAAGCAGAAGACAUGCUUUAUUGAAGUUUUACUAUUAUUUAUAUAUGUAUCGAACAUUUUAACUUUGGAAAUCAUACUAUGAUGGGUGACAUUUGGUUUUGGUAAAUAAUUAUUUUGUCAAAUUUGGUUAUAUUCUAUCGUUUACGAAUUCUCAUGUUCCACGAAUUUAAUUUGAUAUAAUUCUAAUAUUAUGAUUUUAUUGAGACUAUUUAGGUGAGUGUUUAUGACAUGUAUGUGGUAUUCUAUGCCUCUACAUAAUAUUUUGAAAACUCAUAUUUAUAUUUAUCGUAAACUAAACUAUACUGCAUAUAAAAAAAAUAAAGUUAUGUAAUUCUUGAGCAUUUGUUAUGCUCAUUCAAUAAUCCUUAUAUAUUUGAAUUAUAAUUUUCAUCAUACAACUCGCAUUUUAGGUGCUACCAGCAAAACGAGUUCCGCAAAAAUUCUCAAAAUAACAAAUAUAAAGUUUAUGAUUCAGAGAUAUUUAUAUUCUAGUUAUAUUAGGCCGUUACCAAGUGACAUGGAGUUUUAGAGUGUUUUUGAAAUUAGACAUUUGUAAAUGUUUAAGUUGAUACUCUUUUCAAAUAAAAUGUUUUGUAUAAUAUUUAUUAAAUAAAUAGUUUUUAUUUUUUAACAAAUUUUCUAUUAUAUAUAUUUUAACGUUAUUUCCGCAAAUAUAGGCAGAGGGUGUCACAACUAGCCUCUAGUGGAAAACAUAAGAGCAUGAACUCAACAUAACUUAAUUAAAUAGAAUAUGUGUCACGUCAUCUUAAAUCAUUCAUUUUUUACUCUAAAUGUUUAACUCUUAAAAAUCAUAUAGGUCCCACAACUUUAAUUCAUACAUUAAUAUAUCAUUUUUAUUUCAUUUCAUUACAACUUUAAAUAUCAAUUUUCAUAUUUUAAUUAAUAUUAUACAUUAAUUUAAAUUUAAAAUAAAAAUAAUAACGGUCAUAAAUUAAAAAAUAUAAUAUUUAUAAAUUUAUUAUUAUUAAAUUGUGAGAGUACCAUUAUCUGUUAUAGCACCAAAAACUAAAUUUUACAUAUUUUUUUGUCGUGAACAAAGAUAGUUGUCAAUCCUUAGAUAUACUCUAAGGAUGUUUCUAGUGGAAACAUAGAAGUGUAUCUAGGAUUUGCCAACUAAAAUGAUUGUCAUCCUAGUUAGAAGAAAAUCAAUUUCGAAGAAGUAAACACAAAAUGUUUUGUGAUGUUUCAAAGAAGCAUCUUUUGCAUGUGCAAUUUAUGCAUGAUUUGCCCAAUUAACUACUCUCCUUAUGCUUGAAACGAACAAAACAUUAUUUGAUCCUACAAGCAAUCAACUUUUGGAUAAAUAAUAUAAAGUAAAAGAGGAAAUAUUCAAAUCCCAAAAAGGAUAAUGCCUUAAAUAGUACAAUCAUACUUUACAAAUCAAUAUAAAAUAUAACUUCACUAUUUGAAUGAAGAAGAAAACAAAGAUAAAGAAGAAACACUGAGUCUUACAUUAUUAUGCCUCGUAUAUUUCUAAAGUAUUUUCGAAACAGCUCAUGUUGAGUGUUUUUUACUUAAUUUUAAAAGAAUUUUUUAUUUAUUUAUAAUUAAUGAAUACAUAAAUACCAAGCGCAAUCAUUUUUACACUCUUUUGAGCAUUUACUCAACUAUUGGUCCACGUUAUUAUUAUUGAAUUUUUUUCACAAGCAACCCGUCCAUUUGAUCAAAUUUGGUUUCAUACAUUUUAAAAUUAAAAGUCUUUUUUUAAAUCGAUGUCUAUAGACUUAACUAUAGACGAAACUUUAUUCUUGUCUAUAAAUAAUUGUAAAAAACGGACUAUGACAAUUAAACUCUAAAUAAUGUUAUAGUAAAAUAUGAUAUAUAAUAAAACACAAUAGAAUUAACAUAAAUAAGUUUUCAUUUUUUUUUUGUCUAUAGUUAAAUGAUAAAAAAUUUGCACUCAAUAUAUUCAAAACAUGAAAUUCGAUAUAUAACAUUUUUCAGUUGAACUAAAUUUUCUAGAUGAUCGUCUAUUUUUAUGCUACUUGAUAUAAUUUUAUUUGAUCUACCAUAAAAAAAAAAAAAAUUAUCUUAUAAAAUAUAUUCUUUGAAAGUAAAAUUUGUCCAAUAUAUUUCGUACCUUACGGUGAAGCUUCCUCCUCUCAUCUUAAACUUUUUACGUAAAAAUUAUAUUUAAUAUAAGAUCUCACAAUUUUUUAAUUUAUUAGAGUCAAACAAAUACUCUGUAUAAGAAUUACAAAAAUCAUUGCAGCAGCCAUAUCAGACACGACAUAAGAUAACAUGUAAAGUUUUUCAAAGUUUGUUACGGACAAAGGACAAGAAACUUGAGUCAUUUUGUAAAUUAUAAUGAUAAGAGUAACAUUAGUGUAUUAUAUGCUUUUUGAAGAGUAUCAAUAAUUAUCAUUAAUAUUUUGGAUCAUUGAUGAUACAUUAUAUAUUAAAAUAGUGUAAAUAAUUUUAGAUGAUUUAUGAUAUAUUAUCAUAGAAUUUUGAAGAGUGUAAAUAAUUAUCGUUAAUAUUUUAGAUAAUUUAUGAUAUAUUAUUUAUUAAAUUGGUUCAUUGUACAAUUUACUAUAUUUCAUAUUAUAAAAUAAUAAAAAUGGAGAUCAAUAAAUAUUAACUUCUCUAAAACAAAAUACAAGCAAAAAGAUGUAUUAUAUUAAAUUUUUUUAAAGAAAAUUUAAAGUGAGGAAAAUAUAUCUUAAUUUAUUAAAUACUUACAAAAAAAAAUUUACUUUAACCAUUUUAAUCACAUUAUCAUAUAUCAAAUUCACAUUCUACGAGUCAACUAUCUAUCUCUUUAUCAUUAAACCAAAAAAUUAAAAUCAAUAUUAAUUUUAAAUUAAAUACAUUAAUUUUUUGAUAGUAGAAAAUAUUAAAUAUAUUAAGUAAAAGAUGAAGGUAGUGUCCAGCUAAUAAGCUACUUAGUUUAUUGGAUAUUGUUAAAAUUUCAUGCAUAGGUUGCUGUCUCUAUCAAAUCCAAAUCCACGUUUCAUAACCAACUUGGGUCGCAUUGGUCCAAAGAAUCUUACUUAUAUUCAAAAAAGCAGGCCAUUAUUUUUCAAUAAUAGUGUGUGUAUUUUUUAUGAUCGGUGAAUAUACUAGUAUUUUUAGUUUGUUAGAUGUUGAAAACUAUGUGAAUUGUAAUAUGUAUAAAAAUCAAAGUACACCAACCAAGACAAAUAUUGAGGUUAAAAGGGUAGAGAAAAAAACUAUAUAAAGGGUGAUGCUAUCUUCCAUAAUUGCAAUACCAAAACCCACUUUGGGAAAACAUGGGGUCACUAAUGGCCUCUACUAAUCUUAUUAUUGCAUUCACAAUAAUGUCUCUUGCUUUUGCUUCUCAAAUUUCAGCAAAUAAUUAUAUCUAUUCAUCUCCACCACCACCGUCACCAAAGCCUUACUACUACCACUCACCGCCACCACCAGUGCACUCUCCUCCACCUCCUUACCAUUACAUUUCACCACCGCCGCCACCAAAGAAGCCGUACAAAUACCAUUCUCCUCCUCCACCAGUUUACAAGUACAAGUCUCCACCACCACCCUAUAAAUACCCUUCUCCACCACCACCACCAAAAAAACCUUACAAAUAUCUCUCUCCUCCACCACCAGUUUACAAAUCUCCUCCUCCUCCUUAUAAGUACCCUUCUCCUCCACCUCCACCGUAUAAAUAUCCAUCUCCACCACCACCAGUUUAUAAGUACAAAUCACCUCCUCCACCAGUGUAUAAAUACAAAUCUCCUCCACCUCCACCUAAAAAGCCAUAUAAGUAUCCAUCUCCACCUCCCCCUGUUUAUAAAUACAAAUCUCCACCACCACCAGUUUACAAGUACAAAUCACCUCCUCCACCAGUGUAUAAGUACAAAUCUCCUCCACCUCCACCUAAAAAGCCAUAUAAGUAUCCAUCUCCACCUCCCCCCGUUUACAAAUACAAAUCUCCACCACCACCGGUGUACAAAUCUCCACCUCCUCCCGUUUACAAAUACAAGUCACCACCACCCCCAGUGUACAAAUACAAAUCUCCACCUCCCCCCGUUUACAAAUACAAGUCACCACCACCCCCAGUGUACAAGUACAAAUCUCCACCACCACCAGUGUAUAAAUCUCCACCACCACCCUACAAGCAUAUAUCUCCACCACCAACGCCCAAGAAACCAUACAAGUACCCAUCACCACCACCACCAGUUUAUAAAUACAAAUCUCCACCACCACCAUACAAGUACCCAUCCCCACCACCACCUCCGUACAAAUAUCCAUCACCACCACCACCAGUCUACAAAUAUAAGUCUCCCCCACCACCGUACAAGUACCCAUCACCUCCACCGCCACCAUACAAAUAUCCAUCACCACCACCUCCAGUUUACAAGUAUAAGUCCC